rnacentral:rRNA from 1 species
UGCCUCAUACAGGGGGAUAACAGUUAGAAAUGACUGCUAAUACCGCAUAAGACCACGGAGCCGCAUGGCUCAGUGGGAAAAACUCCGGUGGUAUGAGAUGGACCCGCGUCUGAUUAGGUAGUUGGUGGGGUAACGGCCUACCAAGCCAACGAUCAGUAGCCGACCUGAGAGGGUGACCGGCCACAUUGGGACUGAGACACGGCCCAAACUCCUACGGGAGGCAGCAGUGGGGAAUAUUGCACAAUGGGGGAAACCCUGAUGCAGCGACGCCGCGUGAGCGAAGAAGUAUUUCGGUAUGUAAAGCUCUAUCAGCAGGGAAGAAAAUGACGGUACCUGACUAAGAAGCACCGGCUAAAUACGUGCCAGCAGCCGCGGUAAUACGUAUGGUGCAAGCGUUAUCCGGAUUUACUGGGUGUAAAGGGAGCGUAGACGGCUGUGUAAGUCUGAAGUGAAAGCCCGGGGCUCAACCCCGGGACUGCUUUGGAAACUAUGCAGCUAGAGUGUCGGAGAGGUAAGUGGAAUUCCCAGUGUAGCGGUGAAAUGCGUAGAUAUUGGGAGGAACACCAGUGGCGAAGGCGGCUUACUGGACGAUGACUGACGUUGAGGCUCGAAAGCGUGGGGAGCAAACAGGAUUAGAUACCCUGGUAGUCCACGCCGUAAACGAUGACUACUAGGUGUCGGGGAGCAAAGCUCUUCGGUGCCGCAG